rnacentral:rRNA from 1 species
UCUGGUUGAUCCCUGGCGGAGGACGAACGCUGGCGGCGUGCUUAACACAUGCAAGUCAAGGAGAAAGUUUCCUUCGGGGAAUGAUUAAACUGGCGCACGGGUGAGUAAUAUAUAAGCAAUCUACCCUUAGGUUUGGGAUAACGUCGAGAAAUCGGCGCUAAUACCGAUAAUGCAGCGGCACCGCAUGGUGAUGUUGUUAACGUUCUGAAACGCCUAUGGAUGAGCUUGUAUUCUGAUUAGCUGUGGUGAGGUAAUGGCUCACCAAGGCUACGAUCAGUAACUGUCUGAAGGGUGUUCAGCCAAUGGACUGAGACCCGUCAGACUCCUACGGGGGCUUAGUGAGAAUUUGGCAUGGCAAAGCUU